CAAGUCGAACGAGUUCUCGUUGAUGAUCGGUGCUUGCACCGAGAUUCAACAUGGAACGAGUGGCGGACGGGUGAGUAACACGUGGGUAACCUGCCCUUAAGUGGGGGAUAACAUUUGGAAACAGAUGCUAAUACCGCAUAGAUCCAAGAACCGCAUGGUUCUUGGCUGAAAGAUGGCGUAAGCUAUCGCUUUUGGAUGGACCCGCGGCGUAUUAGCUAGUUGGUGAGGUAAUGGCUCACCAAGGCGAUGAUACGUAGCCGAACUGAGAGGUUGAUCGGCCACAUUGGGACUGAGACACGGCCCAAACUCCUACGGGAGGCAGCAGUAGGGAAUCUUCCACAAUGGACGCAAGUCUGAUGGAGCAACGCCGCGUGAGUGAAGAAGGCUUUCGGGUCGUAAAACUCUGUUGUUGGAGAAGAAUGGUCGGCAGAGUAACUGUUGUCGGCGUGACGGUAUCCAACCAGAAAGCCACGGCUAACUACGUGCCAGCAGCCGCGGUAAUACGUAGGUGGCAAGCGUUAUCCGGAUUUAUUGGGCGUAAAGCGAGCGCAGGCGGUUUUUUAAGUCUGAUGUGAAAGCCCUCGGCUUAACCGAGGAAGCGCAUCGGAAACUGGGAAACUUGAGUGCAGAAGAGGACAGUGGAACUCCAUGUGUAGCGGUGAAAUGCGUAGAUAUAUGGAAGAACACCAGUGGCGAAGGCGGCUGUCUGGUCUGUAACUGACGCUGAGGCUCGAAAGCAUGGGUAGCGAACAGGAUUAGAUACCCUGGUAGUCCAUGCCGUAAACGAUGAAUGCUAGGUGUUGGAGGGUU
rnacentral:rRNA from 1 species